rnacentral:lncRNA from 1 species
CUCUCCUGUUAGAUUCUACGCCCUAAGCAACAAGCCCACAUGAUUCUUCUCUGAUCAUUCUAGAAUGAUGCUACGGAACCUGGUCUCCCUUUUAUCUGUCAAGAUCUUAAAAAUAAUUCAAAAACAUCUCUUAUAAAAUUUGCAUGCAAUUUGUAUUGAAAAAUACACAAAAAUAUAUAUCUUAGGACCAAAUGGAAUCCAUUCUUCUAGUCAUUACUCCAUAAGACACGAAAAUGGAUUAGUUCCUUAAUCAGGUUUCCCUUUCACUUCUGUGUAAAUAUGUUGAUUUUUUUUCAGGUAUAGAUAAUCUCCAAAUAGAGUAAUGCCCAGCCAAUAAUAGAAAAGUUUGUAAACAUAAUAAUUGGGAAAACACCUGAAAUUGCCAAUUUCCAUUCAGCCUUAUUCCUUCUUGUUUCCAAGUCUU